UAUGAGAACUGGGAGGCCUUUUAAAGAAUAUUUUCAAUAUAUAAAGAUUCAUGUGAUGGGACUCUGAAAACAAGACAUUAGACAAAUCAAAAAUUAAGUCCAGUGGGCAUAAUUUUAAAACCUUUUUACUUGGCUCAGUAGAAUCUGUUCAGUUUUCUUUCUCAGGAGGGAGGGCCAUGAACUUCUGUUUUUCCUAUUUCUUCUGGGUUCGCUAUUUGUAUUCUGAUAUAACUGCACAGAAGAAGAUUGCCUCUUGAAGAGUUCAGUUACAUGCGCUGUUCAAGUGAUCCUGACAAGGAUGAAUGGUAAUAAAAAUUGUCCAUCCUUUGAACGUGAUUUGGAUUACACUGCAGAAAUUACAUGUCAAUAUUGAGUAGAGCUGUAUGGGGUUUAUACACAAAAAAUAUAGGGUUAUAUGUGGACAUGAUUUUUCAUUCCCCUCUUGACACCACUCACUCUACAUGCCUGUUCUUUAUUUAUAAGCAAGAAGCAUGCUGACAUUUCAAUGUUCCUUCAGCUCAACAGUUCAGUCACAGCAAGAAAAACAACAUGUGUAACCAUGAGUAGCCUGAGAUUCAUUUCACUUGAUUUUCCAAGAAUUUAAUUGAAAGGUGAGGCUUUGUGACACAGCCAUGGAGCUUAUCUGUGGCAGCACUGCUUCACUGAGGAACUUUGUAUACAGCUUAGAUCAUAUACAGAGAAUGCUGAUCUUGCAUUGAAGUUUGUGAGGUGAAAUCUUUGGCUGCCAUGCAAUGCACCCAUCUGAAGCAUGACGCUUCUGAAAAUGCAUACCUGCUGUACAUCCAGUUUUUUGCCUGGCCUUAUGUCCUUUUAUACUAUAAAGUCUUAUGUACUUCAAAGUGGAACUAUUAUACCACUUGAACACUAAACCUUCCAGUGGAAAAAACAUCUGUUAAGGAUCAAUUAUUGUAAAGUAAAGCACAUUGACAAGCACGUUUCACAACAUGUGAAACAUUAAGAAAUGCAUAGGCAAUCAUUUGUAUGAUAUAUUUUCAGUUUUGUGAUCACAUACUUUUAUUUUCAACCUGCACAAUCUGCUUUAUUCACUAUACAGACCAGAGGGUGCUUAGUGAGUCAGCACAGAUAUCGCUCAACAUAAGGAUUACUCAAUGUUUUGUUGUAUCUUUCUGGUCUAAUUUGUGGCCACAUACUGAUUUACUGCACCUUAUUCACUUGCUUCAAAAUUGCCUCUGAAUUUAACUUCCUUAUAUGCUUUUUUUAGUGGUGCCGAAUAUAAAGUCAUCUGUAAAAGCAUUUAGGACUUGGUUUUACAGUAACUGUACGAUUUGAAGAAGCAAUAUAACUUCAAUUUUAGGUAUGACCAAUUGAGGCCCAGAAAAUAAAUAGAUGAAGGUUAAAACUAGAA